rnacentral:rRNA from 1 species
CGUAGGGUGCGAGCGUUAAUCGGAAUUACUGGGCGUAAAGCGUGCGCAGGCGGCUUGUUAAGAUAGGCGUGAAAUCCCCGGGCUCAACCUGGGAACUGCGCUUAUGGCUGGCAAGCUAGAGUACGGCAGAGGGGGGUGGAAUUCCACGUGUAGCAGUGAAAUGCGUAGAGAUGUGGAGGAACACCAAUGGCGAAGGCAGCCCCCUGGGUCGAUACUGACGCUCAUGCACGAAAGCGUGGGUAGCAAACAGGAUUAGAUACCCUGGUAGUCCACGCCCUAAACGAUGUCAACUAGGUGUUGGGAGGGUAAAACCUUUUAGUACCGGAGCUAACGCGUGAAGUUGACCGCCUGGGGAGUACGGCCGCAAGGUUA